UACGUAGGUGGCAAGCGUUGUCCGGAUUUACUGGGCGUAAAGGGCGUGCAGGCGGUUUGUUAAGUGCAGGGUGAAAGCUCCCGGCUCAACUGGGAGAGGUCCUUGCAUACUGGCGAACUCGAGGGAGGCAGAGGAAAGUGGAAUUCCCGGUGUAGUGGUGAUAUGCGUAGAUAUCGGGAGGAACACCUGUGGCGAAGGCGGCUUUCUGGGCCUUACCUGACGCUGAGACGCGAAAGCGUGGGGAGCGAACAGG
rnacentral:rRNA from 1 species